CCUACGGGAGGCAGCAGUGGGGAAUCUUGCGCAAUGGGCGAAAGCCUGACGCAGCCAUGCCGCGUGAAUGAUGAAGGUCUUAGGAUUGUAAAAUUCUUUCACCGGGGACGAUAAUGACGGUACCCCGGAGAAGAAGCCCCCGGCUAACUUCGUGCCAGCAGCCGCGGUAAUACGAAGGGGGGCGUAGCGUUGCUCGGAAUUACUGGGCGUAAAGGGAGCGUAGGCGGAUAGUUUAGUCAGAGGUGAAAGCCCAGGGCUCAACCUUGGAAUUGCCUUUGAUACUGGCUAUCCUGAGUAUGGGAGAGGUUAGCGGAACUCCGAGUGUAGAGGUGAAAUUCGUAGAUAUUCGGAAGAACACCAGUGGCGAAGGCGGCUAACUGGCCCAUUACUGACGCUGAGGCUCGAAAGCGUGGGGAGCAAACAGGAUUAGAUACCCUGGUAGUCCACGCCGUAAACGAUGAGUGCUAGUUGUCGGCAUGCAUGCAUGUCGGUGACGCAGCUAACGCAUUAAGCACUCCGCCUGGGGAGUACGGUCGCAAGAUUAAAACUCAAAUGAAUUGACGG
rnacentral:rRNA from 1 species